rnacentral:piRNA from 1 species
CUGGAGAGACUUUGACAGCCCAGGCCAGCA